CUUUCUUUGGCUUGUGAUAGAAACGUUGUGACUCGGUUAAGAUUUCCGAGAACGGAAAUCCAGAGCAAUCCUCGCGGGAGCGCGAUUCCCAAGCCCCAAGUCACAAGCCACGACUCCUGCGCCUCAGCCUCGGGCAUCAGUUUCCACGUUUCGCUCUCACAGGAAAGGCCUGUCAAAGGGAGGCCACUCACUGCUGCCAGGGGCUUUGUGAUCUGUGCAGCCCCCAGUGAAGUUUACAUGUUGUGGGUUGUGGCCUUGUUAAAAGGCUCACUGCUUCUACGGCAAGUUGUGCUCUCGAUAAUGUGAAAGAGAGCAGCUCACACACGUGCUGGGCGGAACCCAUGCCCAUUUCCCACGGGUAACCUGUCUGGAGCAUCUAUCGCCACCUCCACUCACCUCCCCAGCAGCGGGAACGGACUGCUGAGAAGGCUCUCUGUAAAAAUAACCUUUCAGGCUCGUCAUCUCCUUGGAUCUCAUCUCUGAUCUAGCAGACAGGGAGGGUGUGGGCAGAGGCGGCAGCCGGGCCACCCUACCAAGGAGGCUGCAGGGAGGCAGGCAUUGUCUUCCCAUGGUUUGGGAAGGGGUACCACGCGAUGCCCAGCCCUGUCAGCCCGUGUGUCAUGCCCUGGAGGUUCACAUUUCCAAUUGAGAUGCACAGGCUCGAGGCUCCUGGUGGGGCAGUUUCCUGUCCUAAGUGGUGCCUGCCCUGAGGAGGGCCUGUGGCUGAGUCCUGUGGCUCUAGGGAGGGCAGUGUCCUGCCCGCUGCUUGCUUUGGGGGUCAGGACUGAUGCUGCCUCUCACUCUUAGAAGUGCCCCAGCCUGACGGCCAAGCCUGAGGUCAUUCAGAGGUGGCUGAGGUGCCCCCUCUCCUAGCCUCCACUCCCAGUCACACUGUGCCAGAGUGGCCCUGCAUGCCAACGCCCCGGGUGCAGGGCUGCCUCACCUGCUAACACGGAGACCCACUCGUUGCCAACACACAGAUACAGGCCCUUCCGGCUGGCAUCAAACCAGAACUGGGCGUCUUCCACCUCGGUACACGGUGGCUGGGGUCCCAGCGUCACUCGAAUGUUGGUUUCUGAGGGGAAGACCAGGAAGAUGAGUUUCCAGCAAGCCAGUGCCCCCAAAGGAAGACGACACAGGAAGAGGCCCCCAAACCAGGCUGCCCUGCCUCAGCCUCUGCAUGCGGGCCUGGAAGGGCCCCUGCAGGCACCUUGGCACAAGCCUGCCACAUCACAGACGGGGAAUUGAGAACCUGGCCUACCGGUGACGAAGGACAUCAUGAUGCCCCCUAUAUGGUCAGCCCACCCUCUGUCCACUCUGAAAGGCGUGGCUUUCCAUCCCAUUGAGGCAGAAAAGGCCUGCUCCUCUGAGAGUCCUCAGCGAUUGCACAGGGCAUGGUCCCCCCUCAGGAGGGAGUCCCUGUUGACAGUGGUGUAUCUUAACGACGGCUUGGCUUGAACCUGUGGCGGUUUGAUCUCAUCACUUCCAGUAAUCACACCCCACCAUGGGUCCUAAUUCUGCCACCUCUUGACUCUAUGUGGGACAUCUGUGCACCUGCCAGCCGGUGCUGGCCAGCGGUGUGACACAGUAUACCAUGCGGCCCGGAUGUGUUGGAGGUGGGGGCUCCCCUACUUGGUAACCGCUAACCCUGAGGCUCGGGGGCUCGGCUGUUCUCCACCUCACUGCCCCUCGGGUUGGCUGAGAGCAGUGGGGAUGCGGCGGGGAGGGGCAUUUCAGAUUCUCCAUGGCAGGAGUGUGGUUUAAAUAAAUACAGUCACCCUUGUAACUUCACACAAGAGAAAAUCAAGCGGGGAGGCCCUCUGGGCCGGGGGAUCGUGGAAGACGUGAGUGUAGGGCCAGAGUGGGCCCGACUGGGGCGGGCUGGUCUGGAUGAUGGUGGGACAGAGGCGGGGUGGGGAGAAAUGGCCCAAACGCUGUCCUUGGGGGGCAAAAGGGGAUGAGGGAUGUCAGAUAGCUCUGGACAGACUUUCUAAAGUAAGUUAGGCCUGUUUUCUGCCUGGGGUCCCCAGGAAGGGGCUGGAUGGCUGUCGUGGGAGUGCUUGGAGGGAAGGGCAGGAUGACACUGGCCUGUCUGAUGGUGCCGCCUGCCUUCCUAGGGGUGGGCCCCGAGUAUCCCCCUGGCCAAUAUGACCGCUGCCCCCCGUAGCAGUGAUGAGGGGGGCAGGCACACGAGAGGGGCUGAGAGCUGAGCCCUGAGUUCCCGCCUGGUGUGAGGCCAGGGCUCUCGCAUCUGCCUUUGGUGUGGGGGCGGGUGGCCCCCCUACUAACCAUAGGGAUAUUUUAGCACCUCGUUAUCUUCUGGCUUCCCCGUGAGAGCCUGCAGGACCCGUGGGAUGGACAGCACCGCCAGCGGGGCGUUCCUGCUGGGACACAGCCUUGGGGUGGCGUCUGAGCCCGGCAGCAGGACCAGUUGCCUCACCAGUCCCUGCAGAGAGAGGGACAGCUCCUUCAGGCCCGCGCUGCUGGGGAAGGACCCGCUGAGGAGGCGACCACUGAGCUUGGCCCAUCCAGAGCCCGGAGGAGGCUCGGGUGGAUGGAAUCUAAGCUUUUGCAGAGCUAACUGGGAAGAGUUUACAUGAUGGUUACUGAGGAGGCCAUGGGAGCAAUGGUGAAGAAUUGCCCCCCUUCCGAGGGAACUGAACCACAGAAGGGGUUUUUUAUGUGAACUUAGAGUGACUGGCUACUCUGCUCAUCCAACAGCCCAUCCACCCAUCCUGUUCAUCCAUGCAUUCAUCCAUCCAUCUGUCCAUCCAUCAGUCCAAUCCAUUCAUCCAUCACUAAUCCAUCCAUCCCUCCACCUACCCAUCCAUUCAUCCAUGCAUUCAUCCAUCCAUCCACCCAUUCAUCCAUCACUCAUCCAUCCAUCCCUCCAUCCACCCAUCCAUUCAUCCAUCCAUUCAUCUUUCUCUCCAUCUGUUCAUCUCUCCACGCAUCCAUCCCUCCAUCCAUCCAUUCAUCUUUCUCUCCAUCUGUUCAUCUCUCCACGCAUCCAUCCAUCCAUCCAUCCAUUUGUCCAUCCCUCCAUCUGCCCAUCCAUCUGUCAAACCAUGCAUCAAUAAAUAUUCAGAGCAUCUGCUAUGUGCCAGGCAUGGCUCUAGACACUGGACUCAGCAGGGAACAAAGGCCUCUAGCCUCAUGGAGUGAGGUCCCCACUCACACGUGAGUGGAGACACAGGCACCGAGCAGACACCCAGCUGGCCUGAGAGCAGCAGGCCCUACUGAGGAAAGACAGCUCCGGGGAAGGGGCUGCAGGGCAGAGUGUGGGCAUCAGCUCAGCAUGGUGGGGGCAGCCUGAAGAGGACCGUUGGGCAGGGACCCAAGACCAUCAGGGAGGAGGGUGCCAGGAGGAAACAGCAAGCGUGAAGGCCCUGUGGUAGAGACUCCACGCACGCUGUACCUUCUUUUCCCAGUUAGCACGUCCAAGGAUCUGUCAACUAGAGCAGUAGGACAACUGGCCUGGGGCAGUCCCAUCCCGCAGCACGGGUGUUGGGAAGGCAGCCCCUCCAUACUCGCCAUGAACAGGCCUUUGGCUCUCCUCCGGCUGCCGACGAAGAAUCGAGCUCCUUUCACUGACAGGGUGGCUGGGAAGGGCACAUCGGCCAUUCUGAAAAUAUCAAAGGACUGUGUUAGGGCCAUAGGAGAGUGGUCACCCCAGUUUACUCACAGAAGGAACAGGAACAAGCCCCUCACUAAGCAGCGUGCAUCUGUGCUGUGGCUGCCACACAAAGGAUGGCACACAGGGCUGAUCGCCUGCACAGCUCUGGAGCCCAGUAGCCUGGAUCAGGCUGGGGCAGGGUUUCUCCGAAGGCUCCAGAGGAGGACGCUUCCUCGACUCAUCAGCUUCUGGUGGCUGCACGUGCUCCCCGUGACCUGUGGCCAUGUCGCUCCAGUGUCCGACUCUCCCAGUAUCUGUCUCCUGGUAAGGAUCCUAGUCACACUGGAGCAGGGCCCGCCUCACUCCAGGAUGAUCUCAGCUUGACUUGAUGACUGCAAAGACUCUGUUUCCAGGUGAACGUUUGUCCAGGCCUCAGGCGCUGCCGCCACGUCAUUCCUAGCUGCUGUGGCAAAGCCAGAAGUCAGGCAGCAUUCACGUCCAGCCAGGACUUUCUUUACGGGGUGGGAAGCUGCUGCUAGGUCAGGUUGUCUUCAGCCUGCACAGCACGUCCCUGGGAGGCUUCCAGCUCUCAGGACCUGAGAACUCAUCACCGUCCUGAGGGCCCUAAAGAGUUUGGGGUAUGGUGGGAGAGAGGCUCUGAUAAAAGUGUGUUUAAGCUAAGUGCAUAAUAAAAAUAUUUAUGCGAUAAGUUUCAUAACAAAACAGAAGAUCCUACCUUUGAAAGUAAUAUUCGAAAUAAUUUAAUAUUUAAUAGAUUUAAUAUAAACUGGAUCAUUUGCAAUUAAAAAGACAGAAGCGCAGCCCUGCUCCACAGUGGUAGAUCCUGACAUGGGUAACCAACUGGCCGAGCUAGGGGACUGAGGACUCCUGUCCAGGGGACCUACCGUCAGGCCACAAACCAGGCGACGGCAAAAACGAGAAACGAACUCGGCUUCCAAAAGCCCCCAUUGUGUCCAAGGCUACAAAGGAUAAUCUUGUACUCAUUUGGAGUUUCUGUCAACAUCUGCUCCCUCGUCCACGAGGAACCUGCCAUGUGGAGUCACGGAGCCAGGCCUCGGCCUCCAGCCUGGAGGUUGGGGAAGGAGUUACUCUGACUUCCCGCUGCUGCCUGUUGUGAUGUUAGCGCCCUCCCCACAGUGCCGGUCCCCUGCCAAGUCCCCUGAGCUACUUCUGGAAAAGGAGUGCGCUUGGUGUGAUCGCCCUUACCUUGUUCUAAGCCACUGACUCUGAUGUGCAGCGGGUUUUGUGUUUAAGGCGUGGAGAAACAUUAAAAUCGGGGUUUUGACAGGA